rnacentral:rRNA from 1 species
CCUACGGGUGGCAGCAGUGAGGAAUAUUGGUCAAUGGACGAGAGUCUGAACCAGCCAAGUAGCGUGAAGGAUGACUGCCCUAUGGGUUGUAAACUUCUUUUAUAAAGGAAUAAAACGAGGCACGUGUGCCUUUUCGCAUGUACUUUAUGAAUAAGGAUCGGCUAACUCCGGGCCAGCAGCCGCGGUAAUACGGAGGAUCCGAGCGUUAUCCGGGAUUAUUGGGUUUAAAGGGAUGCUAGAUGGGUUGGUUAGUCAGUUGUGAAAGUUUGCGGCUCAACCGUAAGAUUGCCAUUGAUACUGGCAGUCUUGAGUACAGUUGAGGUAGGCGGAAUGCGUGGUGUAGCGGUGAAAUGCUUAGAUAUCACGAAGAACCCCGAUUGCGAAGGCAGCUUACUAACCUGUGACUGACAUUGAUGCACGAAAGUGUGGGUAUCAAACAGGAUUAGAUACCCCGGUAGUC